rnacentral:rRNA from 1 species
AUUGAACGCUGGCGGAAUGCUUUACACAUGCAAGUCGAGCGGCAGCACGGGGGCAAUCCUGGUGGCGAGCGGCGAACGGGUGAGUAAUACAUCGGAACAUGCCCAGUCGUGGGGGAUGACACUUCGAAAGAAGUGCUAAUACCGCAUACGUCCUGAGGGAGAAAGCGGGGGAUCCGCGGACCUCGCGCGAUUGGAGUGGCCGAUGUCAGAUUAGCUAGUUGGUGGGGUAAAGGCCUACCAAGGCAACGAUCUGUAGCUGGUCUGAGAGGAUGAUCAGCCACACUGGGACUGAGACACGGCCCAGACUCCUACGGGAGGCAGCAGUGGGGAAUUUUGGACAAUGGGGGCAACCCUGAUCCAGCCAUUCCGCGUGAGUGAAGAAGGCCUUCGGGUUGUAAAGCUCUUUCGGCAGGAACGAAACGGCGAGCUCUAACAUAGCUUGCUAAUGACGGUACCUGAAGAAGAAGCACCGGCUAACUACGUGCCAGCCGCCGCGGUAACAC